AUUUUAUUUGACAGCCACUUUGAACAGAAAUCAGCAUUUUGGAAAGAGCUUUCAUUUCCUAUGCUUGUAUCAAAGGGAUUUUGAGGUGCUGAGGUUAGUGAAGGGUGUGGGGGUGGUGCUAUAGAUCAAAAAGUUAUAUCAUGGCACCAGAUUUGCUUCAUUACAAACUUUAAUCACUAUCAGCCUUCUAUGAUUCCUACCGCAGAAAAACUUUAGAAAGAAAACCAAGUCCCAGCAGCACAGUUUUGAAACGUUAUCUCUGGGAUUUAUUUUUAAAUCUCUUUGAAAUAUGUUUGUCCCACUAUUUGCUUUUACUGCUUUGUUUUCCUAUUCAGUGAGCUUUAUAUUUUAAUAAGGGUCAUUUUAGCGAAGAAAAAUCUGGGAAGCAACCUCAGAGAAAAGAAUGCAUGUAUGCAGUCUUUGUAGUGUACUAUACAUUACCUACCCCUUUGAUGAUGACAUAUUUUGCAGGAACAGGUAUAAUUUCCAGUUGGCAGCGUAACCUUAGACUUUGAUUUCAAGAAUGCUGUUGAAUUAACACGACCUGCCAGACUGCCGUGAACUGAAGACGUUGUGCAAUGCUUCUGCACUGCCAUCCCUUAGCACAGAUCUCUUUCAGAACGGAAGGGCAUCGUAGCAUUUCUCGGGCAAUGAAAGUACCAAGACUGUGGCUCUAUAAUGAUGGAUGCUUUGUAUGCACACACACACAGAUGGAUGGAUUUCAACCCUCCGGCUAUGUCUAGUGGCUGGUGACCCUGCACAUAACAGGGGGGAUGAAACUCAAUGAUCAUUGUGGUCCUUUUCAACCCAGGCUGUUCUAUGAUGAUUCUAUGAUGAUUGUUGGAUGGAUGGAUAGAUAGACGAAUGGAUAGAUAGAGCCUGUCCCAGAGCCUGCAGACACAUCCUCCCCUUGCUCCUGUCUCAGCCCUUGGUCCCAAAAGAAUUUAGUGGAGUCCAGGUCUGGUUCAAUCACCAUGGAGAGAUGAAGCUGCUCUGGCCCUUGUUUUGGAUAAGGGUUGAGUGCUACUGAACAGAGAUACUCUGGAGAAAUUAUUACCGCUGACAGCAAAGCCAUUAACAGCAAGGUUGGAGAGGCUCAAAUACAAAGUCAAAAUGGGGAAAUAAAGCUUUAGGGAUGCCACUAAAGAGAAGCAUAAGUCACAGCAGGCAAUAAAGAAGGAAAUUAAUAGGAAGGUUCAUUAUAAAUAUUUUAAAGAAAAAUACAAAAUAUUUAAAACAGUAAGAGAUUCUUCACCUAUAUGUGAAAGAGGGUCUCACUGAAAGAUCUAAGGGCCCACAGGAUCACGAGGGAUAGAAGGGAAUACUCAAAAUAAACAAAUUGCUGAGGAACUAAAUAGUUUCCCUUCAUUCAUGUCUAUCAUCAGAAAUGUGAAAAUAUGCCUGCCCUGAACUUGCUUACUUCCUUUGAGAAAUAUGAGAUGUACUUGAAGAUGAAAAUGUCAGAAGAAAUCAGAGUUUACAGGCAGUUAAGUUGCCAGUUCCAGAUGUUGCCUAUCUAAAAGCUGUGACCAAACUCAAUACUGGGGGAGCUGAGCAGCCAGCAACAACUGACUGUCCUAAAAAUCUCUCAAAGACUUGGCCAAUAAAGUGUAUUGACACCAAGCUGGGAAGCAUAACUGAUUGAUAGGCAGGAGGACUGGGAAAGCAGCAAAAAGAGGAACUUAAGGACAGGAGUUAGGGAAAUUAGAUAAUAUCCAUGAUAAGAAAGUGCAAGGUCAUAUCAGAGUGGACUGUUAAAAGUUUUUGCUGUGGAAGAAGAGAGAUUGUAGGUUCAUAGCAUAACUUUGAACUCCUAGAUGUGUGAAGGCCAGAAGAGAAGAAAAGGCAAACAGAUAAUAGGAUUUCUCAGGACAGGAACUUACAGCAGAGAAAGGAAAGAAUAAAAGUCAUUGUGCAGAGAGAAAGUAAUCUCUUCAUCCUGAUUUUUAACUGUCCUAAAUAAAGGCAAAGCAGCAGUGGUGCUGCUGGUUCAUCAGUUGGCUCGUUGAAGUUCAGCGUUCACUCAGGAUUUCCUCAUUUACUGAGUAGGUCAUCAGAAAGUCUGGAGGAGGAGGCAAAAAAAGAACGGGAUUGGAACCAAGGCUGCAACUUGGUAACUCCACUGUGAGCUGGCACGCUUCUCUGAGAGCAGCUCAGCGGUGUCAGGGUAUCAGCUUGUGAAUCCUCCCUUCUCACCACACAGCCUUUCAGAAGUUGGCUGGAGAUGACAGCGUAUCACAAAAUACCUUGGCUGUGUGCUGAAUUGCCUUAUUGCACCGCCAGGAGGAAAGGGAAGAUAUUAAAGCAGGCAUAGCUGGAAGCUGUAUUCUCAGAGUGAUCUGGACCUCGUGUUGUUUGUAUCUGUAAAGUGAUUAACCC
ensembl:lncRNA